rnacentral:rRNA from 1 species
UACAGAGGGGGCAAGCGUUGUUCGGAAUUACUGGGCGUAAAGGGCGCGUAGGCGGCCUUCUAAGUCGAACGUGAAAUCCCCGGGCUCAACCCGGGAACUGCGUCCGAUACUGGAAGGCUUGAAUCCGGGAGAGGGAUGCGGAAUUCCAGGUGUAGCGGUGAAAUGCGUAGAUAUCGGGAGGAACACCGGUGGCGAAAGCGGCUGUCUGGCCCAAUACUGACGCUCAUGUGCGAAAGCGUGGGGAGCAAACAGG